rnacentral:rRNA from 1 species
CCUACGGGAGGCAGCAGUGAGGAAUAUUGGUCAAUGGACGAGAGUCUGAACCAGCCAAGUAGCGUGAAGGAUGACUGCCCUAUGGGUUGUAAACUUCUUUUAUAUGGGAAUAAAAUGUUCCACGUGUGGGAUUUUGUAUGUACCCUAUGAAUAAUGAUCGGCUAACUCCGUGCCAGCAGCCGCGGUAAUACGGAGGAUCCGAGCGUUAUCCGGAUUUAUUGGGUUUAACGGGAGCGUAGGUGGAUUGUUAGGUCAGUUGUGAAAGUUUGCGGCUCAACCGUAAAAUUGCAGUUGAAACUGGCAGUCUUGAGUACAGUAGAGGUGGGCGGAAUUCGUGGUGUAGCGGUGAAAUGCUUAGAUAUCACGAAGAACUCCGAUUGCGAAGGCAGUUCACUGGACUGCAACUGACACUGAGGCUCGAAAGUGUGGGUAUCAAACAGGAUUAGAUACCCUUGUAGUC